AACAGCACACUUAGUUGGGUGUUAGUCCAGAACUGACUAUAUUUGCACAGAAGAGCCAUAAAAAUUGCUACCAGGGUGGUGGUACAUAAAAAAUGACAAUGGGCAGGCUGGCUGGAAUCCUUGGAACAAGCUCACGCCAUCACUCGAUGAGAUAAUAUGAGAUUUCUACUUCGGAGAGGCCAAGUCUAAUGAAGAGAAAAAAAGGAAAAGAAGUUGCAAGACUCGAAUAAAAUCUGCUGCACCUUGUAAAUGCUCUAACUGGACAUGAAGGAAAGGGGCGAGGGAGGGGGGUGGGAUUUUUGGUGCAAGUAGCACAUGGUUUAAAUAUGAAUGAACAAACCUGUGAUCUAGUCCUUGUCUUGUAAUUGUGGAUUAAUGUCAAUGUUAAUCAGCCCCUCAAAGGGAGAGAAAAGCUGGACCUUUUCCCUUGCUGUACCAUAUUCAGCAUUUGAUUUCCAUGGGCCCCACCAUUUAUGUGUAAAAUUUGAAAUGGUUGUCACCUCUCUGAGGAGAGAGCUUGAAGCCUCCACACCAGCUGCUGCUGGAGAUUCAAAGCCCAACUGUGGGUC
rnacentral:sRNA from 1 species